rnacentral:rRNA from 1 species
UACAGAGGGGGCAAGCGUUGUUCGGAAUUACUGGGCGUAAAGGGCGCGUAGGCGGCCGCCUAAGUCAGACGUGAAAUCCCUCGGCUCAACCGGGGAACUGCGUCUGAUACUGGGUGGCUUGAAUCCGGAAGAGGGAUGCGGAAUUCCAGGUGUAGCGGUGAAAUGCGUAGAUAUCUGGAGGAACAUCGGUGGCGAAGGCGGCAUCCUGGACCGAUAUUGACGCUGAGGCGCGAAAGCCAGGGGAGCAAACGGG